rnacentral:ncRNA from 1 species
AUUCUCAGGGCGGGGUGUAAGUCCCCACCGGUGGUAUAGCCCACGAGCGCUUAAUAUUUGGGUCAGCAAAUAUAAAGUUAUUUCCAUUGUUUGGCGAAAUGAUUUGACGUGUAUUUGAGGAUGAUUAAUUUAUAUUAAGGUCUAGCAGAUUUGGUGAAAUUCCAAAGCCGACAGUUAAAGUCUGGAUAAAAGAGAGU